ACCGAUAGUGAACCAGUACCGUGAGGGAAAGGCGAAAAGAACCCCGGCGAGGGGAGUGAAAAAGAACCUGAAACCGUGUACGUACAAGCAGUGGGAGCACGCUUAGGCGUGUGACUGCGUACCUUUUGUAUAAUGGGUCAGCGACUUAUAUUCUGUAGCAAGGUUAACCGAAUAGGGGAGCCGAAGGGAAACCGAGUCUUAACUGGGCGUUAAGUUGCAGGGUAUAGACCCGAAACCCGGUGAUCUAGCCAUGGGCAGGUUGAAGGUUGGGUAACACUAACUGGAGGACCGAACCGACUAAUGUUGAAAAAUUAGCGGAUGACUUGUGGCUGGGGGUGAAAGGCCAAUCAAACCGGGAGAUAGCUGGUUCUCCCCGAAAGCUAUUUAGGUAGCGCCUCGUGAAUUCAUCUCCGGGGGUAGAGCACUGUUUCGGCAAGGGGGUCAUCCCGACUUACCAACCCGAUGCAAACUGCGAAUACCGGAGAAUGUUAUCACGGGAGACACACGGCGGGUGCUAACGUCCGUCGUGAAGAGGGAAACAACCCAGACCGCCAGCUAAGGUCCCAAAGUCAUGGUUAAGUGGGAAACGAUGUGGGAAGGCCCAGACAGCCAGGAUGUUGGCUUAGAAGCAGCCAUCAUUUAAAGAAAGCGUAAUAGCUCACUGGUCGAGUCGGCCUGCGCGGAAGAUGUAACGGGGCUAAACCAUGCACCGAAGCUGCGGCAGCGACGCUGAUGCGUUGUUGGGUAGGGGAGCGUUCUGUAAGCCUGUGAAGGUGUGCUGUGAGGCAUGCUGGAGGUAUCAGAAGUGCGAAUGCUGACAUAAGUAACGAUAAAGCGGGUGAAAAGCCCGCUCGCCGGAAGACCAAGGGUUCCUGUCCAACGUUAAUCGGGGCAGGGUGAGUCGACCCCUAAGGCGAGGCCGAAAGGCGUAGUCGAUGGGAAACAGGUUAAUAUUCCUGUACUUGGUGUUACUGCGAAGGGGGGACGGAGAAGGCUAUGUUGGCCGGGCGACGGUUGUCCCGGUUUAAGCGUGUAGGCUGGUUUUCCAGGCAAAUCCGGAAAACUAAGGCUGAGGCGUGAUGACGAGGCACUACGGUGCUGAAGCAACAAAUGCCCUGCUUCCAGGAAAAGCCUCUAAGCAUCAGGUAACAUCAAAUCGUACCCCAAACCGACACAGGUGGUCAGGUAGAGAAUACCAAGGCGCUUGAGAGAACUCGGGUGAAGGAACUAGGCAAAAUGGUGCCGUAACUUCGGGAGAAGGCACGCUGAUAUGUAGGUGAAGUCCCUCGCGGAUGGAGCUGAAAUCAGUCGAAGAUACCAGCUGGCUGCAACUGUUUAUUAAAAACACAGCACUGUGCAAACACGAAAGUGGACGUAUACGGUGUGACGCCUGCCCGGUGCCGGAAGGUUAAUUGAUGGGGUCAGCGCAAGCGAAGCUCUUGAUCGAAGCCCCGGUAAACGGCGGCCGUAACUAUAACGGUCCUAAGGUAGCGAAAUUCCUUGUCGGGUAAGUUCCGACCUGCACGAAUGGCGUAAUGAUGGCCAGGCUGUCUCCACCCGAGACUCAGUGAAAUUGAACUCGCUGUGAAGAUGCAGUGUACCCGCGGCAAGACGGAAAGACCCCGUGAACCUUUACUAUAGCUUGACACUGAACAUUGAGCCUUGAUGUGUAGGAUAGGUGGGAGGCUUUGAAGUGUGGACGCCAGUCUGCAUGGAGCCGACCUUGAAAUACCACCCUUUAAUGUUUGAUGUUCUAACGUUGACCCGUAAUCCGGGUUGCGGACAGUGUCUGGUGGGUAGUUUGACUGGGGCGGUCUCCUCCUAAAGAGUAACGGAGGAGCACGAAGGUUGGCUAAUCCUGGUCGGACAUCAGGAGGUUAGUGCAAUGGCAUAAGCCAGCUUGACUGCGAGCGUGACGGCGCGAGCAGGUGCGAAAGCAGGUCAUAGUGAUCCGGUGGUUCUGAAUGGAAGGGCCAUCGCUCAACGGAUAAAAGGUACUCCGGGGAUAACAGGCUGAUACCGCCCAAGAGUUCAUAUCGACGGCGGUGUUUGGCACCUCGAUGUCGGCUCAUCACAUCCUGGGGCUGAAGUAGGUCCCAAGGGUAUGGCUGUUCGCCAUUUAAAGUGGUACGCGAGCUGGGUUUAGAACGUCGUGAGACAGUUCGGUCCCUAUCUGCCGUGGGCGCUGGAGAACUGAGGGGGGCUGCUCCUAGUACGAGAGGACCGGAGUGGACGCAUCACUGGUGUUCGGGUUGUCAUGCCAAUGGCACUGCCCGGUAGCUAAAUGCGGAAGAGAUAAGUGCUGAAAGCAUCUAAGCACGAAACUUGCCCCGAGAUGAGUUCUCCCUGACUCCUUGAGAGUCCUGAAGGAACGUUGAAG
rnacentral:rRNA from 1 species